AUUUGGGGCAGGAGUCUCUCCUGGCGGUAGGCUGAGCCGGAGCGCUGCCUGCAGGGAUGAUAGAGAGCUGUGGAUCAUGUCAGAUGGGACCCCUCAUCCACACACCUAGAGAAAAGCUGCGCACCUCUCAAACCUAGUCCAGACCUGUAACACAGAGGAUAACAGCCAAUACAACUCCAAAGAGACUUAAAUAUCUCAAUCUGCUGGAUUACAUGUGAUGGAUCGCGAGGUUGGGAGAGACUCUGAGCUGCUAGAUGUGGAGUUUCGGAGUAAAGCAAAGGAUCAACAUUCACAACUGAGCAAAGAAAAACCUGUUCUUCUUCAGGUUGUGAUCAUCCAGAAGUUCUUUCAGAGUUUUGACAUGUGCCAACAGGCCUCCUCCAACAAAAUCAUCUACCUCUUCCCUGGAGCAUCAUGGAGGUACGUUUCUUGUAUGUAGAUUUGAACUUCAUAAAGCAGCUGCCAAAUUCAGUUUAGGGCUGCCAGUACUUUCUGGUACAACUUGAUAUUUAGAUGCAUUUGCUUUAGAAGGUACGUAAAAGCUGGUUUUGGUUGGGGAGUCCGUAGUUUACACAACAAUGUCACAAUCAUUUUGUCAAUUUUCCUAGAAGUUGCUGUGGGCCCCAUGGAGGUGUGGACCCCUACAAUAAGUACAACAUUUCAUUUAUUAAGUGACGCUCAAUAGACAUGUAACAACCUCAAAGUGCACAAUAGUCUGCCUACAGGCAAAGACAUAAACUCUUAGUUUAAAUAAAGGUGCUUAAAGGAUUCUUUACAGCAAUGCCACAGCUUUUAAGGCCAUAUUCAAUGGAUAACUACAUAGGACAAUACCUUCACACUAAAGAAGUUUAGGAAUGCUGAAAGGAUAUCACACACUUUUGGUUAGGUCUGGUUUGGAAUGAUUUCACUAACUAGUUCUGUUUAUGCAUCACUCUUCUAUACUCGCCAUGGCAGUUGCAUUGCUAAAACAAAGCAGUUUGUGUGUUCUCCAGGAUGAAGCCAAGACUUGUACCCCAAGGAACUGGCCCUGGAUAUUCCAUUUGUCUGAUAGGAGUGUGUCCUACUUAAGAUCUGCAAUGGGACUCAAUUAGUCUGGAAAAGAGAAGGGCUGAUAAUUAAUUUAUUAAUAAUUACAAUUGGAGCAGGAUGUUGUGAUGAGAGAGCUGCUUUGUAUGGGGCAGAUUGACUAUGACAGAGAGGAAAAGAACAAAGAAACUGUUGAAACGAGAAAGAGAGAAGAUGGCUUCUUCAAAAUCACAUAGGAGAGGAGAGGUUGUAGUCACACUUUGACAAACAUACUUCAAAGUCCAGGAAAAUACUGUUUACACACAUGCAGAGGUAAGCAAGAAUAUGAGGACACUUAAUGCACAGUAUUUUACAAACACUAUGUGUACAUUUUCUCUGUAUCGUGUGCAUAUAUUUACACAAAGACCAAACUACUGUAAACUAUGAACAUAAUUUUUUUAUAUUUAGGUCUGUCUCAUUCAAUUUCUCCCUAUACACAUACACUCCAUGCACUCACUCCAUGCACUUUUUACAGCAGCACCAUCAACAUCGCAUUAAAAAUAAAUUCAUUCAAAGUCAAUUUGGGGAAUGUUUGGUGAUGCAGGGUAAAAAUACCGAAUCAGGGAAUAGCACCCCCCCAAUCCCCAAGGCAUUCUUUUUCUCUAUCUUGUCUCUGUGAUUAAAAAUAUAAUGAUGAAUGCAUAUUUUUCCAGAUGAAUAACUUAAAGGAGUUGGCAGCAGAUAAAAUGAACAGCUGCAUUUUGUGUUGACGACAUUUUGUGGUGGGCUAUAUCACUCUCCUGCUCAGUUAAACGCUCUGUGCUUUUUGGGUGUUUGCAGACAGAAGCCAAUGGGCAAUUAUCAUAGAACAUGUUUGAUCUAAGGUUGUUUCAUCAUGGUUGCCAAGUGUUAAAAUGUCAACCUUUAAUCAACAUCAGUCAUGUUGAGAAAUUAGUAUUGUUAUGACUACACAGACACACACACACACACACACACACACACACACACACACACACACACACACACACACACACACACACACACACACACACACACACACACACACACACACACACACACACACACACACACACACGCACACAUAUGCACACACACACACACACAAAUAGAUGAUAUAAGUGUUGUCUAGGCCAACUCAAAAUACUGUUUUCAUAGACUAUUGGUUGUGUUGCUGUUGUUGUUUUUUUACAGUUGUGGAUAAUUAGGUAAAUCAUUGUGACUCUGGGAUGUUUCACAGCUACUCAAAGCUAUUUGAGUGGCUGAGCGGUUUAAGGAGCUGGGUUAUGGUUCCAUUGUCUUUGGGGAUGUGAGUCCCACUGCCGCACAGCGGUUUCCAUUUCCAUAGUGUAGUAUUUAAAGCAUUAUAUUUGGGUUUGAUUCCCAGGGAAAAAGCAUACUGAUAAAAGCAUAGAUAGUUUUUUGCAAGAAGAGAAUCUUAGUGAGGGGAGAACCGGGGCAAAAGUAACGCGGGAUGAAAGUAACAAAGCGAUGUUCUCCGAGCCCUGAUUACAUUUGCAUUCCAAACUAUGACAGCAUCUUUAGCACGCAACCCUUGACAGAGCUGACAAAUAUCGCGCUAUUUCGUCACCGUUUUGCACGUGUAGGUCCAGAAAGCUGUUUUCGACCAUGAUAAGUAAAUUCCUAAAGCGGUCAUUUUUUUCUUAUAACGCGUUGUGUUUCUAGUUUUAUGUGUUACAGUACUGACCAGUUUACAGGUUAUUUAGUGCUCUAACACAUCCUGAAGUUUGCCUUCUUUUAGGUUUUAAAAGUAAAUCGCGU